UACGGAGGGCGCAAACGUUGCUCGGAAUCAUUGGGCGUAAAGCGUACGUAGGCGGCUUAUCAAGUCUGGUGUGAAAGCCCGGGGCUCAACCUCGGAAUGCCACUGGAAACUGAUAAGCUUGAGAGUGAGAGGGGUUAGUGGAAUUUCUGGUGUAGGGGUGAAAUCCGUAGAGAUCAGAAGGAACACCGGUGGCGAAGGCGACUGACUGGAUCACAUCUGACGCUGAGGUACGAAAGCGUGGUUAGCAAACAGGAUUAGAUACCCCGGUAGUCC
rnacentral:rRNA from 1 species